UACGUAGGGGGCAAGCGUUGUCCGGAAUCAUUGGGCGUAAAGAGCGUGUAGGCGGUCCGGUAAGUCAGCUGUGAAAGUCAAGGGCUCAACCCUUGAAAGCCGGUUGAUACUGUCGGGCUAGAGUCCGGAAGAGGCGAGUGGAAUUCCCGGUGUAGCGGUGAAAUGCGCAGAUAUCGGGAAGGAACACCAAUGGCGAAGGCAGCUCGCUGGGACGGUACUGACGCUGAGACGCGAAAGCGUGGGGAGCAAACAGGG
rnacentral:rRNA from 1 species